rnacentral:rRNA from 1 species
CGGACGGGUGAGUAACGCGUGGGUAACCUGCCGUAUGCAGGGGGAUAACACUUAGAAAUAGGUGCUAACAACCGCAUAAGCGCACGAGAGCGCAUGCUUUGUGUGAAAAACUCCGGUGGCAUACGAUGGACCCGCGUCUGAUUAGCCAGUUGGCAGGGUAACGGCCUACCAAAGCGACGAUCAGUAGCCGGCCUGAGAGGGCGGACGGCCACAUUGGGACUGAGACACGGCCCAAACUCCUACGGGAGGCAGCAG